AUGAACGCUGGCGGCGUGCCUAAUCCAUGCAAGUCGAGCGAACAGAUGAGGAGCUUGCUCCUCUGACGUUAGCGGCGGACGGGUGAGUAACACGUGGAUAACCUACCUAUAAGACUGGGAUAACUUCGGGAAACCGGAGCUAAUACCGGAUAAUAUAUUUAACCGCAUGGUUCAAUAGUGAAAGACGGUUUCGCUGUCACUUAUAGAUGGAUCCGCGCCGCAUUAGCUAGUUGGUAAGGUAACGGCUUACCAAGGCAACGAUGCGUAGCCGACCUGAGAGGGUGAUCGGCCACACUGGAACUGAGACACGGUCCAGACUCCUACGGGAGGCAGCAGUAGGGAAUCUUCCGCAAUGGGCGAAAGCCUGACGGAGCAACGCCGCGUGAGUGAUGAAGGUCUUCGGAUCGUAAAACUCUGUUAUUAGGGAAGAACAAAUGUGUAAGUAACUAUGCACGUCUUGACGGUACCUAAUCAGAAAGCCACGGCUAACUACGUG
rnacentral:rRNA from 1 species